rnacentral:rRNA from 1 species
AGAAUGAACGCUGGCGGCAUGCCUAACACAUGCAAGUCGAACGAAACCUUCGGGUUUAGUGGCGCACGGGUGCGUAACGCGUGGGAAUCUACCCCUUGGUUCGGAAUAACAGUUGGAAACGACUGCUAAUACCGGAUGAUGACGUAAGUCCAAAGAUUUAUCGCCGAGGGAUGAGCCCGCGUAGGAUUAGCUAGUUGGUGUGGUAAAGGCGCACCAAGGCGACGAUCCUUAGCUGGUCUGAGAGGAUGAUCAGCCACACUGGGACUGAGACACGGCCCAGACUCCUACGGGAGGCAGCAGUGGGGAAUAUUGGACAAUGGGCGAAAGCCUGAUCCAGCAAUGCCGCGUGAGUGAUGAAGGCCUUAGGGUUGUAAAGCUCUUUACCCGGGAUGAUAAUGACAGUACCGGAGAAUAAGCUCCGGCUAACUCCGCGCCAGCAGCCGC